rnacentral:rRNA from 1 species
UGGGGAAUUUUGGACAAUGGGCGAAAGCCUGAUCCAGCAAUGCCGCGUGUGUGAAGAAGGCCUUCGGGUUGUAAAGCACUUUUGUCCGGAAAGAAAUCCUUGGCUCUAAUACAGUCGGGGGAUGACGGUACCGGAAGAAUAAGCACCGGCUAACUACGUGCCAGCAGCCGCGGUAAUACGUAGGGUGCAAGCGUUAAUCGGAAUUACUGGGCGUAAAGCGUGCGCAGGCGGUUUGCUAAGACCGAUGUGAAAUCCCCGGGCUAACCUGGGAACUGCAUUGGUGACUGGCAGGCUAGAGUAUGGCAGAGGGGGGUAGAAUUCCACGUGUAGCAGUGAAAUGCGUAGAGAUGUGGAGGAAUACCGAUGGCGAAGGCAGCCCCCUGGGCCAAUACUGACGCUCAUGCACGAAAGCGUGGGGAGCAAACAGGAUUAGAUACCCUGGUAGUCCACGCCCUAAACGAUGUCAACUAGUUGUUGGGGAUUCAUUUCCUUAGUAACGUACUAACGCGUGAAGUUGACCGCCUGGGGAGUACGGUCG